rnacentral:rRNA from 1 species
UGGGGAAUAUUGGACAAUGGGCGCAAGCCUGAUCCAGCCAUGCCGCGUGAGUGAUGAAGGCCCUAGGGUUGUAAAGCUCUUUCAACGGUGAAGAUAAUGACGGUAACCGUAGAAGAAGCCCCGGCUAACUUCGUGCCAGCAGCCGCGGUAAUACGAAGGGGGCUAGCGUUGUUCGGAAUUACUGGGCGUAAAGCGCACGUAGGCGGAUCGGUUAGUUGGGGGUGAAAUCCCAGGGCUCAACCCUGGAACUGCCUCCAAUACUGCCGGUCUAGAGUUCGAGAGAGGUGAGUGGAAUUCCGAGUGUAGAGGUGAAAUUCGUAGAUAUUCGGAGGAACACCAGUGGCGAAGGCGGCUCACUGGCUCGAUACUGACGCUGAGGUGCGAA